rfam:Pan troglodytes isolate Yerkes chimp pedigree #C0471 (Clint) chromosome X, whole genome shotgun sequence.
UCUCAGACAUCUCGGGGAUCAUCAUGUCACGAGAUACCAGUGUGCACUUGUGACAGAUUGAUAACUGAAAGGUCUGGGAG